rnacentral:rRNA from 1 species
GCGUGAGUGAAGAAGGUCUUCGGAUUGUAAAGCUCUUUCGACGGGGACGAUGAUGACGGUACCCGUAGAAGAAGCCCCGGCUAACUUCGUGCCAGCAGCCGCGGUAAUACGAAGGGGGCUAGCGUUGCUCGGAAUGACUGGGCGUAAAGGGCGCGUAGGCGGAUGAUACAGUCAGAUGUGAAAUUCCUGGGCUUAACCUGGGGGCUGCAUUUGAGACGUGUUGUCUAGAGUGAGGAAGAGGGUUGUGGAAUUCCCAGUGUAGAGGUGAAAUUCGU